GCAGGGCUGUAGGCCCCCUCCCUCUCAAGCCCAACAAAUUUUUUCUAAAGGUAUUUUUUAUUUCUUUUGGUAAAAAAUCAGUUUUUUAUGUGUAAAUUUUUUUUUCCACGUAGUAGCCAGAUUUGAAAUUUUUUAGCCUGGUUUUGGAUCCAAUCCUGAAUCCGUCCCUGCAUAGCGGGUUUUGGGAAAGACUAUAGUCUUUUGAUGAUCAAAUCUUUCAGUUAGUUUUUUUAAAGAACUUGUGGAUCAUUCUUAGUGAGAUAUUCAAUUUUAGAUGUAUCGUGAAGAUGAUGACGAUAGAAGAUUAAUGUUUUUGCACGAUCUUAUAG
rnacentral:lncRNA from 1 species